UACGAAGGGGGCUAGCGUUGUUCGGAAUUACUGGGCGUAAAGCGCACGUAGGCGGAUCAUUAAGUCAGGGGUGAAAUCCCGGGGCUCAACCUCGGAAUUGCCUUUGAUACUGAUGGUCUCGAGUCCGUGAGAGGUGAGUGGAACUCCGAGUGUAGAGGUGAAAUUCGUAGAUAUUCGGAAGAACACCAGUGGCGAAGGCGGCUCACUGGCUCGGUACUGACGCUGAGGCGCGAAAGCGUGGGGAGCAAACAGG
rnacentral:rRNA from 1 species